rnacentral:SRP_RNA from 1 species
GGCUGGGACCUGCGCAGCUCGGGUCUCCGAACCCCGUCAGGUCCGGAAGGAAGCAGCGGUAAGGAGGCCGCCCGAGGGUGCCGCAGCCAUUCUGGCCCGA